rnacentral:lncRNA from 1 species
AUGGAAAGAAUCAUCCUUCUCCUCCAGGUGUCCAUGUCUGAAACUGGGAUUCCACCUCUAAAAUUCCCUAUAUCCAAGGGUUGCUCCCAGCCAAAACCUGCCAGUACCAUCACGUCUGUCUGGCCUUGGCCUCUGGUGGCUGUCCCUGCCACACUGGGGCUCGGUUCUUUCCUUCCCGUGGAGAUUACUGUGACACUCUGGGCACCUCAUGGAGCCAAGGGGAUCAUUGUGGCACCACUGGAGCCCAUGGAACCAAGGGGCCAUGGUGACACUGUGGGGCUUCAUGGACCCAGAGACCACCAUGACUCUGUGGGGCCUGAUGGAACCAUGGAGACCAUUCCGACCCUUCGGGGCCUCGUGUCACCAAGGGGGCAUUGUGACACCUCAGGGCCUCCUGGAAGCAACGGACCAUUGGGACACUGUGGGGCCCCAUGGAACCGAGGGAACAUGGAACAGCUCUGGCUGGCUUGGCCUCCCAGGGGCCACCUGACAGGGUAUCUCUAAGAACAAAAUCUGGCAGCUCUGGAUUGCUUUGGCCUGUGGUAGUCACCUCUCAUCUGCCCCUAAAACACUGGGGCUCUGUUCCUUCAUUCCUAUGGAGAAGAACUGGUCUUCAUGUCCAGGAACCAUGGCCAAAAUUAGAAGUGGCCACUGAGCCUGGCCAGGGUCAUGUAACCAUCUGCAGGCCCCGGGGGAGAUAUUGACUCUUCCAGUGCUGCCAUCCUCCCUCCAGUGAGAGAAAAGGACAAAAGGCAGGCACACAGAGGAGCAACAUGAAGACACUGAGGUCACUGAAGAGGAAGUUGAGUCCCAGACGGGAGAGAUGAGGAGAUGCCUUGAUCUUGGGGCUGAAAUCCUCUGGUAAAGCUCUGGAGAAGGAUGUCAUUGAUACAUCCAACUCUCUUUUUCCCUAUAACGCAUUGAAAUGUAUGGGGAGAUUACUUGUUUCAGCAAAGGCCUCCAUGCUAAAGCAAGCAAAUAUUGCAGUAGCUGUGAUCCCAUGAGAAGUCUGAACAGAGAAAGAGAGCAAAGUGAUGAGACCCUGUGCCCUCAGGGAAAGAAGAAGACCUCUUUUCCCAGAGAUGAAGAUGAUUUCAGAAAGAGAUGAAGAGGACACUUGCUCUUAAACAGCUCAUCUUGAAACUCAUACCCCAUAAGCUGAUAUGGGCCAUAAACACAACUGUGGAGCUGUGAAAAAAUUGGAGGGACUUUACGAUACCAGACUUUUCCAGGCAGCUGUUAUUUGUGGAAACUGAGACCCAGGAGAUAAAUGUUUCUUAUGGAGAAGUCUCCAUAGCAAGAAAGAGAGACUCCUCUCCCUAAAGGAGAAAUUAUUCUAAGGGUGGAAAACUGGCAGAAAAUUUUAGGUUUUGGCUCUUUACAUUGUCAGUAACAAAGAAAAGGUUAUACGGAGAGAAGAAGUGUUCUGAAAGUUUUGUUCUGAUUCUUAUUACUCUCUUUUAGUUGCCAUUAAUAAACUUUUCUUAAAAAGUUUAAUAUUUUCUUUUAAAGCUCUGAACCCUCUUU